CCGAGGCAGGGCAUUGCCCCACACACACACACACACACACACAGCGGGGAGGGUGGAUCCCACAGGCAGGAGCCGCAAGGGCUAAUAUUCUUGCAUUACGAUUUUGUGUCAGGGUUUUGUUACGGCUCCCGCCUGCGGGCUCCCCGCUUCUUUGCACCGGCUCCAUUGGGAUCUGCCUGGAUCCUUUCCCCAGGUUCCGGGUUGCAAUCUCUUCCCAGCACCACCCCAUCACUACGGCCACAUCAGUCACCAUCUCGACCCUCUAGCAGACCCCCCCCCCCCGCCUGCCCAGACCUUGGACACUGACAUUUUUCCACGGGGCCGCCCAGAGGAUUCAGGGGGCCUGGGCAAAGCAGGGGAGUUGCGGUGCUUGUACUCACCAGGUGGCGGUCCUGGUCUCUGGCAGCAUUUCGGCGAUGGGGAGCCCUUCAGUCGCUCUGCAGCUUCGGCAGCACUGAAGGGCCCCCCGCUGCCGAAAUGCCAGCCGAAGACCCGCAGCGCCACCGGGCCAGGGCUCGCGGGCCCCCUGCGGGGGCUGGGGCACUUAUCCCCCCGCUCUGGGCGGCCCUGUUUUUCUACAUCAAUCCUUGGCCGGCCUGCUCUGCUCCCGUGCUGCUGACGCCAGCUCCGAGCCAAGGCCGUAGGGGGUUACAGAACACUUCUGUCCUGCGAGGGUGUUCUGGACUCCCCGGGGGAAGGGGGACCCUAGAGAAGACCAGAAGAAUGGCCCAGACUAGGUCAGCCCUAUGGUCCGUCCAGCCCAGUGUCCUGUCUUCCGACAGUGGCCGGUGCCAGGAGCUUCAGAGGGAACGAACAGACCCGAGUGAUUAGCAAGUGAUCCAGCUCCUGGCCUCAGUGCUUAAUUUGUGAUGAAAGAGGAGCUGGCGCUCAAGCAAAUUUUUUUUUUUUACUUUCAUAACGGAUGCAGCAAGCCCCAAGGUGCCGGGGCUCUGAACGGCCAGGACCAGAGGUGCCGGGGCUCUGAACGGCCAGACCCAGAGGUGCCGGGGCUCUGAACGGCCAGGCCCAGAGGUGCCGGGGCUCUCAACGGCCAGACCCAGAGGUGCCGGGGCUCUGAACGGCCAGGCCCAGAGGUGCCGGGGCUCUGAACUGCCAGGCCCAGAGGUGCCGGGGCUCUGAACUGCCAGGCCCAGAGGUGCCGGGGCUCUGGACGGCCAGACCCAGAGGUGCCGGGGCUCUGGACGGCCAGGCCUAGAGGUGCCGGGGCUCUGGACGGCCAGACCCAGAGGUGUCGGGGCUCUGGACGGCCAGACCCAGAGGUGUCGGGGCUCUGGACGGCAGAGCCCAGAGGUAUCGGGGCUAUGAACUGCCAGGUCCAGAGAUACCGGGGCCUUGGAAAGCAGAGCCCAGAGGUGUCGGGGCUAUGAACUGCCAGGUCCAGAGAUACCGGGGCCUUGGAAAGCAGAGCCCAGAGGUGCCGGGGCUCUGAACGGCCAGACCCAGAGGUGCCGGGGCUCUGAACGGCCAGACCCAGAGGUGUCGGGGCUCUGGACGGCAGAGCCCAGAGGUGUCGGGGCUAUGAACUGCCUGGUCCAGAGAUACUGGGGCCUUGGAAAGCAGAGCCCAGAGGUGUCAGGGCUCUGAACUGCCAGGCCCAGGCUCUGGACGGCUGAGACCAGAGGUGCCGGGGCUCUGGACGGCCAGGCCCUGACACAGCUGCCUGUUGUCCAGUCUACACUUCUGGCAGCCAGAGGCCCAGGGACUGAGUGGGGUGUGGGAUUGAUUUGUGUUGCGGGGGGCGAGGGGGAUCAGUGUGGUGAGUUCCCCCAGUAAAACCAGAGCGGAAGUCUGAGUGGAACCCCCCCCGCUGGGUCAUUGGCUGGGACCAAACCUGGGACCUAUGGAUUCAAAAAGCAGGCGCCUCUGCUAAUUAACCCAAAAGACCAGACUCGCAGUAGCUGACUCCUGAGGCACCAAACAAAGUCUGACCAGUAGAGGGCAGCAGAGAGAUUUGGGGCACCCCCCCCACCCCCAGGCAAUAUUUGGUGAGUGCUGGGGGUGGUGGGAGGCAGGAAGGAUUCCCCCUCUCUCCACUGAGAUCAUGGGGCUGUGUAUGGGCAGGCUGUGGGGAGGGGCCUGAUCCCAGAAGGUAAGAGCAGGUGCUGAGCAGCUGAGGACUGGGGAAGUAGUGACA